rnacentral:misc_RNA from 1 species
AACGCAUAUUGCACUCUCUGGUAAUCCGGGGAGUAUGCCUGUUUGAGGGUCAGUAAAUAAUAAUUAUCAUAAUCUUUUGAUUGUGGAAUUGGGCCUUUAUUUCAUUAAUGAUUUAUGGCCUCAAAUUUACGUUACCGCUUGUUUAAUAUGAAAUUCGACCGAAUGGAGCAAUUAAACAUUCUCUCGUUAGGCGGAUUCAUCAAGCAAUUUACGAUUUUUUGGCCGUCGAAGCACUUUUUUUUAGAAGUGCUUGGUCGAGAUUGUAAGAUACAUUUAACAAUGACCUCAAAUCAGGCAAGAAUACCCGCUGAACUUAA